AGUGAACGCUGGCGGCGUGCAUAAUACAUGCAAGUCGAACGCAGUGGCGAACGGGUGAGUAAUGUAUAGCUCAUCUGCGCUACACUAGAGGACAACAGCUGGAAAUGACUGCUAAUACUCUAUAGUGUAGGAUGAGGCUAUAUUGUAUCAGCUAGUUGGUGAGGUAAUGGCUCACCAAGGCUAUGACGCAUAACUGGUCUGAUAGGAUGAUCAGUCACACUGGAACGGAGACACGGUCCAGACUACUACGGGAGGCAGCAGUAGUGAAUAUUGCUGAAGGGGGGAAACCCUGAAGCAGCAACGCCGCGGGGAGGUUGACACUUUCGGGGCGUAAACGCCUUUUGGUAGGGACGCGGUACCUAACGAGUAAGCACCGGCUAACUCCGUGCCAGCAGCCGCGGUAAUUC
rnacentral:rRNA from 1 species